GACGAACGCUGGCGGCGUGCUUAACACAUGCAAGUCGAACGAAGAGCGACGGAAGCUUGCUUCUAUCAAUCUUAGUGGCGAACGGGUGAGUAACGCGUAAUCAACCUGCCCUUCAGAGGGGGACAACAGUUGGAAACGACUGCUAAUACCGCAUACGAUCUAACCUCGGCAUCGAGGAUAGAUGAAAGGUGGCCUCUACAUGUAAGCUAUCACUGAAGGAGGGGAUUGCGUCUGAUUAGCUAGUUGGAGGGGUAACGGCCCACCAAGGCGAUGAUCAGUAGCCGGUCUGAGAGGAUGAACGGCCACAUUGGGACUGAGACACGGCCCAGACUCCUACGGGAGGCAGCAGUGGGGAAUCUUCCGCAAUGGACGAAAGUCUGACGGAGCAACGCCGCGUGAGUGAUGACGGCCGUCGGGUUGUAAAGCUCUGUUAAUCGGGACGAAAGGCCUUCUUGCGAAUAGUGAGAAGGAUUGACGGUACCGGAAUAGAAAGCCACGGCAAACUACGUG
rnacentral:rRNA from 1 species